rnacentral:lncRNA from 1 species
CACGGGGUGACUGGUGAAUCAAUGCACUAAACUUAGAUAAAAAAAUCUUUGGGACACAGCUGCACGAAGACACACUCUUAGCUAUUCCAGUCACUGGAUAGUUGGUAGUACGUUUGUUUAGGAUGAAGUAGCCUUCGCAAAUCCUAGCUGUCACAUGUAAUAGGUAGAGCUGGAACCCACCUGUCCUAAGGUCUUUGAAAAUCUCUCUGUAAACAAUAUUAGUUACACCAUUUAUAUUGCUUGUUGCAGAGCGUCAAGUAUAUUGAGACCAUCAGGUGUUGUAACUCGUGAAAGCUGUACGGGCGACGAACACAACAUCAUCGGUUUUGUCUGAAAUGGACAACUCCA